CUCAAACCCCAUAUAUUCUUUCUUCCUUCCUAUGUUUUAGCAGAGAAAACCACUCUUGUUGUAGACAAGCCACCCAUUUUGCCAAAUUUCUUGGAACUUAUAUGUCGUUCUAAAGACACGUCUUUUGAUCUUUUCUUAAAUACGCGUGAGUAUGGGUAUAUAUAUGACAACCAAUUUGAUAUAACGAAUCAUGCUUAGCCAAGAAAAAGUGAUCCUAGGCAGAUUAUACAUUGUUUUUUUGUUUAUGAUAUGGUGAUAUGCACAUAUGCCUGGCUCCCUGUAUGCCAUUUGCAGAGCUCAUCGACGUAUCCAUGGCCUUUGUGGAUGGCGUAUGAGGAGCCAAGCAUAUUUCUUAUCUUGUACAUUCUAUUGUGUACUUGUGCCUUCUCUUUUAUGCUCAGUUCAUCUAAUGCCAAUAAAGGGUAUUUAUUAAUUUUCAGUAUUUUCAUCUGCAUUUGUCGUCAUAAUUGAAUUAUUCUUGUGUGAAAACCGGAACUGCAAUCUUGAAUUUUGUACAACAUUUUAAUGCAACAAGAAAAAUUGUUAUGUCCGGUCUAAAAUAUACUGCUGGUAAAUUUUAUUGUUCUCGUUUUUGACGACAAUUAAAUAUGCAUGUUAUAUAUCUUUGCGCCCAUUGAAGUUUUCCAUUUUCAUUUCAUUUAGUUUAAUAGUAACAAAAUUUGUGUCUUCUAUAUCAAUACUUCAAAAUUUGACUUAUUUUUAAGAUGUUAAUAUUUAUAAUAUCUAUAAGGAAGUUGUUAUUGGAUAUGUUAUAUAUGAAGUUCAAUCUACGUAUUGUGAAGGACGGAGGAUACUCGAUGGUCCGAUGAUCAUUAAUGAGGUAGGUUGAUGGGCUAAAAAGCUUAAAAUGAAAGUCUUGUUAUUCUAGGUGAAUUUUAAUAAAGUCUUUGACUCGAUAAAUUUUGAAUAUUUGGAUAUGUGCCUACUCAAAUGGGCUUUUGGUCUAAAUGGUGUUGUUGGAUUUGCGAGUGCCUUAGUUCAUAUAAAGCCUUAGUUAUCAUUAAAGAUUCUCCUUCGGAUAAGUUUGAUGUAUCUAGGGGUGUCUGGUAAGGUGACCGUUUAUCAUAUUUUCUUUUCAUCAUCGCCAUGGAAGGGCUUCAUGUAGUGAUGAAAUCAACGUGUAAUCAAGGCAUAUUCAAUGAUGUGAGCAUCCCGAAUAAUGGUCCUAUCUUAUCUAACUUAUUUUAUGCAGAUGACGUAUUGGUGAGUGGUUAAGAUCCAAUCUCAAGAACCUUGACAAAAUUCUUAGAUGUUUCCACGUAUCAUCAAGUUUGAAGGUAACUUACCAUUCAAAUACCUUGGGGUUCCGGUUGGAACAAACAUGAAUUUAAUAAAAAGUUGGAUCCAAACUAUCCACUUGGAAGGCAAAAACGUUUUCAUUCGGCAAUCAACUAAUAUUAGUGAAGGCGAUUUUGGGUAAUAUUCCCACAUACUAUCUUUCUCUGUUUAAGGCCCCAUGUGGUGUAAUUGAGACACCAAAAAAGAUCAAUAAGAGGCUUCUAUGGGGCAGCUUAACGGAUAAGGCCAAAAUUAAUUGGGUCUCGUGGGAAAAGGUAAUCACUUCAAAAGAUAAAGGUGGUUUAGGUGUCAGGUCCUUACACCCCAUAAACAUCUCUCUUAUGACGUGGUGGAGGCUACAUACAGAUAGGAAUUCCCUGUGGUGUUGUGUUAUUAGUGGUAUAAACCACUCGAUUAUCUAUCUAAAAAUGUAUGACUUGGGUAUGGAAUAAUAUAGUUGGGGCAAAAUGUGAUAUACUCAAAGUUGGUCUUCAAGUGAGCAACAUUGUAACGAAGGUGAAUGAUUCCUGAAGUUGUAAUUUGGCAACUGAUGGUAAGUUCUUUGUAUAUAUUGUUAGAUCAAAUUUGAUAUAUCUCCUCUUUUUCCUAUUGGUGCAAAAGUUUACCGGUUGAAAGAAGUCAAUCAAUGUUAUUUAUUUCAUAUGGAAGGCUAUUAUAGGUAGGACCCCCUUAGCAGAUGCCCUUCGAUAGCGUAGAGUCAAUAUUGACUCUAACACUUAUUGUUACUGCACAUUGGCGAUCAAAGGCUCAGAUCAUAUUCUCAUAAGUUGUAACUUUGCGAGCAUCACCGUGGACUAGAUCUUCAAAUGGUAUGAUAUUGGUGUUGUCUAAAUUACAAAGGUGGAGGAGAUAAUAAAUUAUGUUGCUACCUGGGGGCACUGUUUGAAAAAAAAAGUAAUUUCUAACGGUAACAUGUUAUGGUACAUUUUGGUUGAUAUAGAAGGCAUGAAAUGGGAGGAUAUUUAACCACUAUACCAUCUCUCACACUAAGGUUGCUGAAAAUAUUGAAGGCAUGAAAUGAGAGGAUAUUUAACCACUAUACUAUCUCUACCACUAAUGUAGCUGACACUAUUAUAGUUUUUGUAUUUUUAUAGUACACUUACAAGGGGAAAAUAGGGAUCAAUUGGGCAGAUUGGUGUGCAUCACCAUUCCUUUGUAUAUAAUUUGAACUUUACUAAUAUGCUUUGUCCCGUUUAGUGUCUUGUUAGGUUUGGGUUUCUCUUUUUUAUUUAUAUUUUUAUCGUUCCAAUAUAUAUAUAUAUAUAUAUAUAUAUAUAUAUAUAUAUAUAUAUAUAUAUAUAUAUAAGGAAUUUAAGGAAUUUAAUGUAAAUUAUUGAUGAGA